GGCCCUGUAGCCCAGUGGAUAGGGCGACUGCCUUCUAAGCAGUAGGUCAGGGGUUCGAUUCCCUUCAGGGCCG
rnacentral:tRNA from 1 species